AUCCAACUGACGAGUCUCAAAUAGGACGAAACGCGCAUCCUAGAU
rnacentral:hammerhead_ribozyme from 1 species